AUAAUUAACAAAAUGUACAGUAUGAGUAUAUAUGGCACAGCAAGUGAUAUGUACUUUUUUUUUUUUUUUUUUUUUUUUAACUUAUAUCUUCAACAUCAACGGCGUUUUAAUGUCCACAAAUUUGUCACGUCCGGGAAUAGAAAAUACGUAUUGCAUCACCCCGCCCACUAACUUUAUUGUUUCGUUGGAUGGCUGGGAC
rnacentral:lncRNA from 1 species